GACGAACGCUGGCGGCGUGCCUAAUACAUGCAAGUCGAACGCAGUGGGGACGGGUGAGUAACACGUGGGUAACCUCCCAUCAGAGGGGAUAACACUUGGAAACAGGUGCUAAACCGAUACUGAUGGAUGGACCCGCGGUGCAUUAGCUAGUUGGUGAGGUAACGGUGCACCAAGGCGACGAUCCCUAGUUGGUCGUAGAGGACGACCAGCAACACUGGGACUGAGAGACGGCCCAGACUCCUACGGGAGGCAGCAGGAGGGAAUCUUCGGCAAUGGACGGAAGUCUGACCGAGCAACGCCGCGUGAGUGAAGAAGGUUUUCGGAUCGUAAAGCUCUGUUGUUAGAGAAGCGGUAACUAACCAGAAAGGGACGGCUAACUACGUGCCAGCCGCCGCGGUAAUUC
rnacentral:rRNA from 1 species